UACAGAGGUGGCAAGCGUUGUUCGGAAUUAUUGGGCGUAAAGAGCUCGUAGGCGGUUUGUCGCGUCGAAUGUGAAAACCCGGGGCUCAACCCCGGGCCUGCAUUCGAUACGGGCAGACUAGAGUUCGGUAGGGGAGUCUGGAAUUCCUGGUGUAGCGGUGAAAUGCGCAGAUAUCAGGAGGAACACCGGUGGCGAAGGCGGGACUCUGGGCCGAUACUGACGCUGAGGAGCGAAAGCGUGGGGAGCAAACAGG
rnacentral:rRNA from 1 species